GGUUGAGUAUGUUUUUUAUUUGAUAUUUUGUCCAUAUAUUCCAUAGAUUGUAUCAUAUUGAAUUGUUGGCUUUGUUAAGUUAUUCGUCAUAUUGGUAUCAAAUUUGUAAGACUCUGUGAAAAGAUCAUUGUUCUAUUUGUAUUAUGUUUAUGAUGUCUAAUGGUAAGUCUUGUGUUUAUGCUUAAUGUGUCAGACCUCAAAUUCAAAACCUAUCUACAUUCAACCAUUUUUUUUCGGAAGUUAGCUGCUACUUUUAACUAUUUUUUUUUAAUCUUAAAUAUGUUUUAUUUUGUGUGAAUUAAUCCUAAAUUUCUAAUACAAAAUUAUGGACAUUUGAAAUCAGACUGAAAAUGGUCUACAUAUAUUUCUCCUUCACUUAAAGUUUCAUUUCUGCAAAUCUGUUUGUUAUGACAUCAAAGGCACUAUUUUUGAGCGGAGAUGGGUACUUUGACACAUGUCCUGAAUUGAAAUUGGGUGAAUUGUUGUUCCGACACUUUUAGAAGGAUUUGUGUAAUCCGAAAUUAUUUUUUUUACUAUUUUAUUUAUAUUUAAAUUACUUUUGGUGUUUUUCAACUUUAAGACGCAAAUUUUUAUAUAUGUACGGGUUUUCAUCACUAUUUCUCAAGUGCCAGAAGAAAGUAUAUGUGCACACAUAUAUGCAAUGUAAGCUAAGCGUCGUCACAAAUUCAUUAAUUAGCAUUUUCCCCAUUGAAUUUCAUGGAAGUCGCAGUAGAAACUGAGAAAUAUAUUUUCAUCACUUCUGGAAAAAUCUUUCCCUUUUCCAGACUUAUACAGUAGUCGCGUUACCUCUCCG
rnacentral:lncRNA from 1 species